rnacentral:rRNA from 1 species
UACGAAGGGGGCUAGCGUUGCUCGGAAUCACUGGGCGUAAAGCGCACGUAGGCGGCUUUCUAAGUCAGGGGUGAAAUCCUGGAGCUCAACUCCAGAACUGCCUUUGAUACUGGAGAGCUUGAGUCCGGGAGAGGUGAGUGGAACUCCGAGUGUAGAGGUGAAAUCCGUAGAUAUUCGGAAGAACACCAGUGGCGAAGGCGGCUCACUGGCCCGGUACUGACGCUGAGGUGCGAAAGCGUGGGGAGCAAACAGG